GAUGAACGCUGGCGGCGUGCCUAAUACAUGCAAGUCGAGCGAACAGACGAGGAGCUUGCUCCUCUGACGUUAGCGGCGGACGGGUGAGUAACACGUGGAUAACCUACCUAUAAGACUGGGAUAACUUCGGGAAACCGGAGCUAAUACCGGAUAAUAUAUUGAACCGCAUGGUUCAAUAGUGAAAGACGGUUUUGCUGUCACUUAUAGAUGGAUCCGCGCCGCAUUAGCUAGUUGGUAAGGUAACGGCUUACCAAGGCAACGAUGCGUAGCCGACCUGAGAGGGUGAUCGGCCACACUGGAACUGAGACACGGUCCAGACUCCUACGGGAGGCAGCAGUAGCGAAUCUUCCGCAAUGGGCGAAAGCCUGACGGAGCAACGCCGCGUGAGUGAUGAAGGUCUUCGGAUCGUAAAACUCUGUUAUUAGGGAAGAACAAAUGUUUAAGUAACUAUGCACGUCUUGACGGUACCUAAUCAGAAAGCCACGGCUAACUACGUG
rnacentral:rRNA from 1 species